rnacentral:rRNA from 1 species
AUGAACCCCACCUCGGCUCCGGGUCCUGACGGCCUUCAGGUGAAAUUCUUCCAGACCUUCUGGAACGUGAUUAAACCGGAGGUCAUGGCCAUCUUCGACGAGUUCUAUGUUGGAUCCAUCGACCUCGGUCACCUCAACUAUGGGAUCAUCUCGCUCAUCCCGAAGGUGCCAGGCGCCUCCGACAUCCGCUAG